UCGCAUCCUGGGGCUGAAGCAGGUCCCAAGGGUUUGGCUGUUCGCCAAUUAAAGCGGUACGUGAGCUGGGUUCAGAACGUCGCGAGACAGUUCGGUCCCUAUCUGCCAUGGGCGCUGGACGGUUGAGAGGGGCUAUUUUUAGUACGAGAGGACCGAAAUGGACGAACCUCUGGUGUGCCGGUUGUCCUGCCAAGGGCACGCGCCGGGUAGCCACGUUCGGAAGGGAUAACCGCUGAAGGCAUCUAAGCGGGAAGCCCGCCUCAAGAUGAACCGUCCCCGGGGACUCGAUCCCCCUGAAGGCACCAGGAAGACUACCUGGUUGAUAGGCUGGAGGUCUACGCAGGGCAACCUGUUCAGCCGACCAGUACUAAUCUGCCGUGAGGCUUGACCAU
rnacentral:rRNA from 1 species